rnacentral:rRNA from 1 species
AUUGAACGCUGGCGGCAUGCCUUACACAUGCAAGUCGAACGGCAGCACGGGAGCAAUCCUGGUGGCGAGUGGCGAACGGGUGAGUAACGUAUCGGAACGUACCAUUCAGUGGGGGAUAACGUAGCGAAAGUUACGCUAAUACCGCAUAUUCUGUGAGCAGGAAAGCAGGGGAUCGCAAGACCUUGCGCUGAUUGAGCGGCCGAUAUCAGAUUAGCUAGUUGGUGAGGUAAAGGCUCACCAAGGCGACGAUCUGUAGCGGGUCUGAGAGGAUGAUCCGCCACACUGGAACUGAGACACGGUCCAGACUCCUACGGGAGGCAGCAGUGGGGAAUUUUGGACAAUGGGCGCAAGCCUGAUCCAGCCAUGCCGCGUGAGUGAAGAAGGCCUUCGGGUCGUAAAGCUCUUUCGGCCGGGAAGAAAUCGCAUGGGUUAAUACCCUGUGCGGAUGACGGUACCGGCAUAAGAAGCACCGGCUAACUACGUGCCAGCAGCCGCGGUAAAAC